rnacentral:rRNA from 1 species
GAUGAACGCUCGCGGCAGGCCUAACACAUGCAAGUCGAGGGAGAAGCCCUUUCGGGGGCAGAAACCGGCGCACGGGUGCGUAACGCGUAUGCAACCUACCUUUCACAGGGGGAUAGCCCGAAGAAAUUUGGAUUAAUACCCCAUAAUAUUAUUGGAUGGCAUCAUUUGAUAAUUAAAACUGCGGUGGUGAAAGAUGGGCAUGCGUCCUAUUAGCUAGUUGGAGUGGUAACGGCACCCCAAGGCUACGAUAGGUAGGGGUCCUGAGAGGGAGAUCCCCCACACUGGUACUGAGACAGGGACCAGACUCCUACGGGAGGGAGCAGUGAGGAAUAUUGGUCAAUGGUCGGAAGACUGAACCAGCCAUGCCGCGUGCAGGAAGAAUGCCUUAUGGGUUGUAAACUGCUUUUAUAUGAGAAGAAUAAGGCGUACGUGUACGUUGAUGACGGUACCGUAUGAAUAAGCAUCGGCUAACUCCGUG